UAAAAUAAAAUAUUCAUGAUAUGUAAGAUGUGAAUGGUAAUAGUCUCUUAAUAGAUACAAAAAUAACAUUUUUUACUCUAAUUAUUCAGUAAGAAAUAACUCUUGCAAGACACAGAAGAUAUAUGUUUAGAUAUAAACUGUUUACCACCUUUCAACAUUAAAGGUAUUAGGAGAGUAGAAUAUAUUUUACACUCUUGCCCAUUUAUAUUCUCCUUUCACAUUUAGCUCGCUCAUUCCUUUGGCCUUAGAGUUAGGUGUGACAGUGUAUUAGCUAAGCUGUCUCAGUCAUUCAGGCAUUUUAUCAGUUCUACAAGACAGAAGAUGCUAAAUAGCAUAGUCUAAAUUGAAGUCACUGAUGACUCUCGGAGACAAGUUGAAGGCAGGAACCGCACUUGGGCACUUAAAUACGUGGCCUUUUUCUAUAUUUAACUGCAAGAAGAAGGCAGCUUUUAAGUAAACUUUUUUAGCCUUUAACUGUCAAGAAUUUUUUUAAUCAUUUGAUUGUUGCAUCUCAUUUUGUUAAGAAAGGCUAUUAACCUUUUCUUUUUCUCCUACAAUGGAGAAUUUUAAAGAUCACUGCUGCCUAUUAUAUUAAAGAAAAAUAAUUUAAAACAAAUUUUGUUGUUUAACCAUUGCUUUCAGGACAAUUUUAGACUAUAGAGACAUUUUUUAAAUGAAAUAUUGCUUCCAAAUGUGCCACAGUUUAUCUAUAAAUUUUAAAUGGCAUACUCACAAUUUACUUAGCAAUCUUUGGGACUUCCGUAUGUCAUACAGUUAUUACAGAAGCAUUUUUAAAAUCAAGUGGACCUGAAAGAAUCUGGUAUCUAUGAAAUGGAGAUAGAUGUUAAGUAAUAGAGCUGAAGAAAAUAUGCUUUGAAAUGUCGACUGGGAUAUGUUUCCAUAGCCUGUUUGAAUUUCAGUUCACCAAGAGGAAAACAAGGAGUUGAUGUGUUCUUUGCAGUUCCUCUUAGCUGUCCGAUCACCUCCCCACACCUGGC
rnacentral:lncRNA from 1 species